rnacentral:lncRNA from 1 species
UUUAUAUAUUGUAUAUGUAAAACAUAAGUCGAACAUCAAACUCAAAACGAUAUUAAACUAUAAAAAAAAGGAGAGGCUUCCCUUAUUCUAUUUAAUUAUAUGUUUUUCUUAAAUUAGGGGUAGUUCUAAAAAAACACAUAAUUAAAUGGAAGUGGGAACUGUAACAGUAACUUUUGUUUGAAAGCGAUGGCAAAAAGAGAGUGAGAAGAAGGAGGAUAACGGUAUAGAGUUCCAUAUUCAAUCUGCUAUACGCUCUCGCAUCCCUUACUUCAAACAACAAUCUCAGUAACCAUUUUAUUUUAUCCAAUUCCCUUUUUAAUUCAUCUUCCCACAAUUUUCCUUAUUUUCCAUUUAUGAUUGCAGUUCUUUCACAUUCGAGGGCGUUCUUAGAUUACUCGAGAAAGACUUAUGAUUUGAAGCAUACACUUUCGAUGUCCACAAGUGCUUAAAAGAGGCUGGUGAUGGUGAUGGCCCAAAUGUAUAUGAGGAGAACGGGGCAAGCACACAAGAGACAGAAAAACCAAAAGAAGAAUGCCAAUCAAAAGAUGAAAAUGAUGUUUGCCUUGAAGACAAGGAGAAAACGGAAGGCCUUCUUAAAGAACGAAAAGGAGUUAAACUUGAAACCAUGGAAGUAAAAGGCAACAAGAGCAAAGGAGUUCCAAGUGAGACCCUGAUUAAGAAAUCUGUUAAAAAGAUCUUCUUACAUCCAAUUAUAUAUCAUUCUAACAUCUCUUUAUUACAAUGCAAACUUUCUUCCCGUCCUUAACUUAUGAUAUGUUUAUUCCAUCAUGAACUCAUGCUUUCGCAGUAAUUCUUAAGGUAUGACAUUGGGUGCUUUUCACAAGAGAAACCUUCAAAGAAGAAAGAAGUUUCAACUCCUGUGUAGGGUAAACGUGUGGAACACCUAAAAUCUGUUACUAAAGCAUUUGGAAUGAGUGUUCCUCCCACAAUUUACAAAAAUGUGAAGCAGGCAGGCUCCUGAAGCAGGCGUGAAGGUCAACUAAUAAAGGAGUUGGAAGAAAUACUGCGCAGGGAAGGAUUAUCUUCAAAUCCCUCUGAAAAGGAAAUCAAGGAAGUGCGAAGGAAGCAGGACAGAGCAAAAGAACUUGAGGGUAUUAUAUGAGCAAUAUAGUGUCAAGUUCACGUAGAAGGUCAACAACUAGCUUUGUAGCUCCUCCACCUCGGAAGCCAAAGACCCUAGAAAUGGUGCUAAAGAUAGUGAGAAUGAUGGCAAAGAUGAUGAAGAAGAUAGUAGUGACGACGAGGGAAGCCAGAGUGAAGAAUUAAAUGAAGAUGGCACAGAUUUAGUGGUAGGAACAUGAGGACCACUAACACUCGUGUCUGCUUCAUAGACCUCAAUGUCACUGUCCUCAACAAGUUCAGUGUUUUCAAUAGAAUAAAUGGGGUGCUUGAAGUAUAUGUGCAUUUGAUAUACGUUCAGUUUAUGUCCCGCAUCAUAAACUUUGUUGCCUACCCUCAACAAUGUUGUCACCAUACGAUUGAUGUCUCGGUCAGUGACAAGUGGGUUAAGGGCAGUUUCUAAAUAAUUAUCCUUAGGGUGCUUCCACAUCAUACUUUCGUACUCAUAAUAGCCAUGGUCUUUGAACAAUGUGUUCAUGUCCUUCAAGUUCACGAAGUCAACGUCUACUGGUGGAAAUUUUCGAACACCAUAAUUUAUGUACUCGAAAUUGUUGUGUUCAUCCCUGACAAAGUCACCACCAUGAUGAUACAAUAGGACAACAUGUUCUGCCAUUUGCAAUAAACAAUUAGUGCAAAAUUAGCACAACAUUACCAUUUAAUGUACAAAAUUACCACAAAAUUGCCUUGGACCCCACACAAUAAACAAUUAGUCCAGUAAGAGAUCACAUGAUCUACCAAUUAGUGCAGAAUGCAAUAAACAAUUACUAAAUGUAGUACACAAUGGACCACCACAAUAAAGUGCAGUAAACACAAGGCGAAACGCAUUAGGAAAUAUUAAAUUGCAUUCACAUGGACCCCCAUAUUCCACACAAGACAACAAUGGACCCCCACAGUGAAUACAAUGCAAUAAACAAUGGACCCCCCCCCAAUGAAACGCAUUAAACAACGAAUACAUGAGUAAUAAACAACAGACAAAUGCAAAAAAAUGCAAUUUCGAAACAAAUGACAAUGUGAAUCGCAAAAAAAUGCAAAACAGAAACGAAUGAGAAACGAAAUAAAAUACCUUACUAUCUUUAGCUAGCGAUUGCGAAACAAAUGACAAUGUGAAUCGAUUGAAAAGCGAAAAUGGAGUGAGAAUCGCAAAAUGCCCUUAUCUUCUUAUUCAGAGAUGAAAAUGGCAAGGGGAGUGAAGGGUUUUGCAUUUCAACGUAUUACCCUAUAAAACGAC